AAGUCUCCCACCCAGCCACCGAUUCAAGUGCAUAUGGAGCCCGAGCCAUCUAUUCAGUUUGACGUCAGUUCAAGUGAGAAUAUGGGCGACACUGGAUUGCCUCCAGUUCCUAUUCCGAAUGAAUCAACAAGCAUCAGAUCUCCGACAUUAUGUAUUUUCAAUCUUAUGAUUUUGGCUAUUGUGUAUUUUGGCUUGUUGAUUUCAAUCUUAUGACAUUGCAUAAUAGUAUGGUAGAAUUUUUUUUAUUUGAUUGAAAAAACCGAACAAACCGAACCAAACCAAACCGAUUUUAAUUGGUUUGGUUUGGUUCGGAUGACCUUGAAAAAAAAACCGAACCAAACCGAACCGCAGCUUAAUUAAACGAUCGGAUCGGAUGACUUUUCCUUCAAAAACCGAACCAAACCGCACCGCGAACACCCCUAUUGGAUAUGUCUCAUCAUCUUAGCAACACGCAUGAUGCGUAUUGAACAUGUGUCAAUAUUCUGACCAAUACGCAAGAUGUUUGAUAAACACUUUUUUUGCAUAUUCACAGUAUUGUAAUACACUUUAAAUAUCAAUAUUCAACCAAAAUAUCAUCUUUA